rnacentral:rRNA from 1 species
AGUGAACGCUGGCGGUAGGCCUAACACAUGCAAGUCGAACGGCAGCACAGUAAGAGCUUGCUCUUACGGGUGGCGAGUGGCGGACGGGUGAGGAAUACAUCGGAAUCUACUUUUUCGUGGGGGAUAACGUAGGGAAACUUACGCUAAUACCGCAUACGAUCUACGGGUGAAAGCAGGGGAUCUUCGGACCUUGCGCGAUUGAAUGCGCCGAUGUCGGAUUAGCUAGUUGGCGGGGUAAAGGCCCACCAAGGCGACGAUCCGUAGCUGGUCUGAGAGGAUGAUCAGCCACACUGGAACUGAGACACGGUCCAGACUCCUACGGGAGGCAGCAGUGGGGAAUAUUGGACAAUGGGCGCAAGCCUGAUCCAGCCAUACCGCGUGGGUGAAGAAGGCCUUCGGGUUGUAAAGCCCUUUUGUUGGGAAAGAAAAGCAGCAGGUUAAUACCCCGCUGUUCUGACGGUACCCAAAGAAUAAGCACCGGCUAACUUCGUG